AGUUCAUUAUGUUGGACAGGGCGCGUCUGCGCCUCCGGCCGCCGCGGCUCCCGGGGCCUCCGCCUGCAGCCGGCGGCGGAACGAGGGCAGGCGGCUGAGACAGGCGAGCUAUUUGCAUUCCCCGGCAGUCAUUUUUAUAUGCGGAGGUAAUGAAGUUGUCAGCGGCGCCCCGAGUGUGGCAGAGCCUGAUAUUCAAAUCGCCCUGCCCGCUCCGCCUGCUCCCGCCCGCUGGUCCCGGGAGCCCCAGGCUGCGCGCGCCCGCACCGCAUCGCCGCUUUGCCCCGCGACCGCGCGCGCCUCCUCGUCCUCCCCCGCGCCUUUGUUUCCGUCUCCUUCUCCUUUCCCUCCUCUUUUGUGUCGGGCCAGACUCAGCCCCAGAAACCAGCCACCCUGCCGCGUCCGACUGCCAGGGAUCCCUCACGCCGCGAGUACCAGAGAUGUCUCCAAGAGCACCAGCAACCCCAGCUAUCUGGAUCUGAAGUGGAUAUGCUCAGAGACAUCCUGGCCCACCCCAAAGAAGAUGCUGCUGCACUCAGAAGACGCCAGAGCUAGCCACCACCCACACUGCAAGUCUGGAAGCUCUGCAAGGACCCAGCAAGGCAGCCUGCUCAGCGAAGGCUUUGUCUCCUGUGGCAGGAAGAGCAACAUUAAGAACAAGAACCCCGGGCUGGACUACCCCUGAGAUUUAAUGACCAGAGCUGAGACCCCCAAGACCACAAUGACUAUGGAGGGCUGUCAUUACCCUGCCUGACCCUCUAAUGCCUCUCAGUUCAAGGAGGCCACUGAGUGAAACUGAAGGCUGGUUUUCCUUGGAAGCCAGCGGCCCAUCCACCUGCUCCACUUCCCUGCCUCUUGCAGCCUCCGCUCAAACACUGUCGUGGCUUGGCAGCA
rnacentral:lncRNA from 1 species